AUUGAACGCUGGCGGCAGGCCUAACACAUGCAAGUCGAACGAGUGGCGGACGGGUGAGUAAUGUCUGGGAAACUGCCCGAUGGAGGGGGAUAACUACUGGAAACGGUAGCUAAUACAGCAUACCAUCGGAUGUGCCCAGAUGGGAUUAGCUAGUAGGUGGGGUAACGGCUCACCUAGGCGACGAUCCCUAGCUGGUCGGAGAGGAUGACGAGCCACAGUGGAACGCAGACACGGUCCAGCCUCCUACGGGGGGCGGCAGUGGGGAUGAUUGCAAAAUGUGCGCACGCCUGAUGCAGCCAGCCUGCGUGUAUGCAGACGCCCUUCGGGUUGUAAAGUACUUUCAGCGAGUAGGCGUUACUGGCACAAGAAGCACCGGUCACCUCCGUCCCACCAGCCGCGGUAAUA
rnacentral:rRNA from 1 species